UACGUAGGGGGCAAGCGUUGUCCGGAAUCAUUGGGCGUAAAGCGCGCGUAGGCGGCCCGGUAAGUCCGCUGUAAAAGUCCAGGGCUCAACCCUGGAAUGCCGGUGGAUACUGUCGGGCUAGAGUGCGGAAGAGGCGAGUGGAAUUCCUGGUGUAGCGGUGAAAUGCGCAGAUAUCAGGAGGAACACCAAUUGCGAAGGCAGCUCGCUGGGACGUUACUGACGCUGAGACGCGAAAGCGUGGGGAGCAAACAGG
rnacentral:rRNA from 1 species